CCGCGCCCCCGCUGGCCUGCACCCCGAUCUCCCCAGGCUAGAGGCCACUCGGAGGCGAGGGGUCCCCGGGGCGAGGGGGUCCAGGGCGCAGAGGGCGCGUGGGCGCAGGAGAAGAGACCCGCGGGGCCCGGGCCGGCUGCGCGGAAGGAGCGGGAACCCCGGCCCGGCCUUGCGUCCUGAGCCGGGGGCGGGCGGGGCUCACCUGCCACCUGCGCCCACGACGGCCGACGGCUGGGCUUUCACCUCCGGGAGAGGAGACCCGGCACCUGGCACUGAGGGGCGCCCGCCCCGCCGCUCCGCAGGGGAUGGAGUGACGGCCCGCAGAGGGCCCACCAUUUACCAGCUGCAGGACCCCCAGGGAGACGUACAGAUGUCAUCAGAUGGCACGGGGCGGGAGGACGCCGUGGAGGCCUGGCACACAGCCGGCAGGAUCAAUGGUGUUGGAUGUUGUUGGACUGAAGCUCUGCAGAGAGGGUCUCGGAGCCGGAGGGGAGCCCAGCACAGGGUCGGCGGGGCGCAGAGCGUUGGGAAGGCAGGAAAACAGGAACUGGUCAGAGCCCGUCCUCCGCUCAGGACCAGCCCGAUCAGCUGACCGUCACUGGGCCGGGGUCCCCAAGGGGUCACUGGGCCAAGGCUGAGCCCCGAGGAGCCCAAGCAGGAACUGGUCCCCCGGUGGGCCUCUCAGGAAGGGCCCUGGGGCCGUGGGAGGCGUGCCUGCCCCCCGCGUCCCCUCCUGGCCGCCCCGCACUCUGUCUCCAGUGGCGAGAGACGUAGGCCUCUGCCUAUAUAU